rnacentral:lncRNA from 1 species
GAAAUAACCCAAACAUGAGUCACAAAGGCUAGUGAGAUAAAUUGUUUUUCCCACAGUCCUGUGUUCAGACGCAUAGCAUGGAUGAGAAUGUGUAAGGAGGACCAGUGUGCGUGGGACAUGGCCGAUUAUUACACAGCCAUGAGCUGGGCAGCUGGCACAGGCAGCCCUGUCCCACCUCAGUGAGUGACCCCAAAGGCGAAGCACGCAGUCACCGACACGGAUGCCGGAGAAGGGAGCAUCAAAUACUAUAACUGUUACUACUAUCCUUAAGUAUGGGAAUGAGCCUUUGGAAGCACAGUUAAGUGAAGCUGAUGAUAUGGAGACGGUCCGUUCAGUGCUAACUUUCCCUGAAGGUGGAGAACGCAUCAGAUGAUCUCCUAAUUCCCCCGGGAGGGCUGUGCUCACAGCACAGGCUCGCUAAGUGCUUGAGAAAGAGAUGGGGUAACAGCACUCCCUGGCUAACAUCAGCCCACACCUCGGCAGGUGUCACAGUCCUGGUCCU